GACGAACGCUGGCGGCGUGCCUAAUACAUGCAAGUUGAGCGCACAGGCUUGGUACUUGUUCCUCUUACAUUAGCAGCGAACGGGUGAGUAACGCGUGGAUAAUCUACCUUUAAGCCUGGGACAACUUCUGGAAACGAAUGCUAAUACCGCAUAAUAUCUUUAACCACAUGUUUUAAUAUUGAAAGAUGCUUUUGCUUCACUCAAUGAUUAUCCCCCGUUGUCUUUGCUUGUUGGUUAGGUAAAGGCUCACCCAAGCGAUGAUACAUAACCGAACUGAGAGGGGGAUCAGCCAAAAUGGGACUGAGACACGGCCCAAAAUCCUAAGGGAGGCAGCAGGAGGGAAUCGUCGGGAAAGGAGGAAAGGCUGAACGAGCAACGCCGCGGGAGGGAAGAAGGUUAUCGGAUCGGAAAACUCUGGUUGUAAAGGAGAAAGAUGGGGGGAGUGGAAAGCGCAUGAAGUGACGGUAACUAAUCAGAAAGGGACGGCUAACUACGUG
rnacentral:rRNA from 1 species